AGUGAACGCUGGCGGCGUGCUUAACACAUGCAAGUCGAACGAGAACGGAAUAUAGCUUGCUAUAUUUGUCAGCUAAGUGGCGCACGGGUGAGUAAUGUAUAGAUAACCUGCCCUUAAGGAAGGAAUAACAGUUGGAAACGACUGCUAAUGCCCUAUAUGCCUUUAAUACAUAAGUAUGCAAGGGAAAAGCUUUAGUGCUUAAGGAUGGGUCUGUAUGGUAUCAGCUUGUUGGUGAGGUAAUGGCUCACCAAGGCUAUGACGCCUAACUGGUUUGAGAGGAUGAUCAGUCACACUGGAACUGAGACACGGUCCAGACUCCUACGGGAGGCAGCAGUGGGGAAUAUUGCACAAUGGACGAAAGUCUGAUGCAGCAACGCCGCGUGGAGGAUGACACAUUUCGGUGCGUAAACUCCUUUUAUAUAGGAAGAUAAUGACGGUACUAUAUGAAUAGGCACCGGCUAACUCCGUGCCAGCAGCCGCGGUAA
rnacentral:rRNA from 1 species